AUUGAACGCUGGCGGCAGGCUUAACACAUGCAAGUCGAGCGGAGAGAGGUAGCUUGCUACUGAUUCAGCGGCGGACGGGUGAGUAAUGCCUAGGAAUCUGCCUGGUAGUGGGGGACAACGUUUCGAAAGGAACGCUAAUACCGCAUACGUCCUACGGGAGAAAGCAGGGGACCUUCGGGCCUUGCGCUAUCAGAUGAGCCUAGGUCGGAUUAGCUUGUUGGUGAGGUAAUGGCUCACCAAGGCGACGAUCCGUAACUGGUCUGAGAGGAUGAUCAGUCACACUGGAACUGAGACACGGUCCAGACUCCUACGGGAGGCAGCAGUGGGGAAUAUUGGACAAUGGGCGAAAGCCUGAUCCAGCCAUGCCGCGUGUGUGAAGAAGGUCUUCGGAUUGUAAAGCACUUUAAGUUGGGAGGAAGGGUUGUAGAUUUAUACUCUGCAAUUUUGACGUUACCGACAGAAUAAGCACCGGCUAACUCUGUGCCAGCAGCCGCCGUAAUAC
rnacentral:rRNA from 1 species